UACGUAGGUGGCAAGCGUUGUCCGGAAUUAUUGGGCGUAAAGGGUGCGUAGGCGGUUUUUUAAGUGGGAUGUGAAAUACCUAGGCUUAACUUAGGAAUGGCAUUCCAAACUGGAAGACUAGAGUGCAGGAGAGGAAAGUGGAAUUCCUAGUGUAGCGGUGAAAUGCGUAGAUAUUAGGAGGAACACCAGUGGCGAAGGCGACUUUCUGGACUGUUACUGACACUGAGGCACGAAAGCGUGGGGAGCAAACAGG
rnacentral:rRNA from 1 species